GAUGAACGCUAGCUACAGGCUUAACACAUGCAAGUCGAGGGGUAGCAGGGUAGCAAUACCGCUGACGACCGGCGCACGGGUGAGUAACACGUAUCCAACCUACCAUUCACACGGGGAUAGCCUUUCGAAAGAAAGAUUAAUACCCGAUAGUAUAGCGAGAGGGCAUCCUUUUGCUAUUAAAGAAUUUCGGUGUUUGAUGGGGAUGCGUUCCAUUAGAUUGUUGGUGAGGUAACGGCUCACCAAGUCUUCGAUGGAUAGGGGUUCUGAGAGGAAGGUCCCCCAAAUUGGAACUGAGACACGGUCCAAACUCCUACAGGAGGCAGCAGUGAGGAAUAUUGGUCAAUGGACGAGAGUCUCAACCAGCCAAGUAGCGUGAAGGAUGAAGGCCCUAUGGGUCGUAAACUUCUUUUAUAGGGGAAUAAAGUGCGGAACGUGUUCCGCUUUGUAUGUACCCUACGAAUAAGGAUCGGCUAACUCCGUGCCAGCCGCCGCCGUAA
rnacentral:rRNA from 1 species